rnacentral:rRNA from 1 species
AUUGAACGCUGGCGGCAGGCCUAACACAUGCAAGUCGGACGGUAGCACAGAGGAGCUUGCUCCUCGGGUGACGAGUGGCGGACGGGUGAGUAAUGUCUGGGGAUCUGCCCGAUAGAGGGGGAUAACCACUGGAAACGGUGGCUAAUACCGCAUAACGUCGCAAGACCAAAGAGGGGGACCUUCGGGCCUCUCACUAUCGGAUGAACCCAGAUGGGAUUAGCUAGUAGGCGGGGUAAUGGCCCACCUAGGCGACGAUCCCUAGCUGGUCUGAGAGGAUGACCAGCCACACUGGAACUGGGACACGGUCCAGACUCCUACGGGAGGCAGCAGUGGGGAAUAUUGCACAAUGGGCGCAAGCCUGAUGCAGCCAUGCCGCGUGUAUGAAGAAGGCCUUCGGGUUGUAAAGUACUUUCAGCGGGGAGGAAGGCGAUGCGGUUAAUAACCUUGUCGAUUGACGUUACCCGCAGAAGAAGCACCGGCUAACUCCGUGCCAGCCGCCGCCGUAA